UAAUGGAGGAAGCUUGGUAAUGUGCACAGAAGUUGAUUUGGAUCUCUAGGUCUGCCCUCUCUAAUGCCUUUCGGCUUUGAUUUGAGGGCAUGGUUCCGUAGCAAAACA